rnacentral:rRNA from 1 species
GCUGCGUGCUUAACACAUGCAAGUCGAACGCUGAAGCCUGGUGCUUGCACCGGGUGGAUGAGUGGCGAACGGGUGAGUAACACGUGAGUAACCUGCCCCUGACUUCGGGAUAAGCCCGGGAAACUGGGUCUAAUACCGGAUACGACUGCCGGACGCAUGUCUGGUGGUGGAAAGUUUUUUCGGUUGGGGAUGGGCUCGCGGCCUAUCAGUUUGUUGGUGAGGUAAUGGCUCACCAAGACGACGACGGGUAGCCGGCCUGAGAGGGCGACCGGCCACACUGGGACUGAGACACGGCCCAGACUCCUACGGGAGGCAGCAGUGGGGAAUAUUGCACAAUGGGGGAAACCCUGAUGCAGCGACGCAGCGUGCGGGAUGACGGCCUUCGGGUUGUAAACCGCUUUCAGCAGGGAAGAAGCGCAAGUGACGGUACCUGCAGAAGAAGUACCGGCUAACUACGUGCCAGCAGCCGCGGUAAUACGUAGGGUACGAGCGUUGUCCGGAAUUAUUGGGCGUAAAGAGCUCGUAGGUGGUUGGUCACGUCUGCUGUGGAAACGCAACGCUUAACGUUGCGCGUGCAGUGGGUACGGGCUGACUAGAGUGCAGUAGGGGAGUCUGGAAUUCCUGGUGUAGCGGUGAAAUGCGCAGAUAUCAGGAGGAACACCGGUGGCGAAGGCGGGACUCUGGGCUGUAACUGACACUGAGGAGCGAAAGCAUGGGGAGCGAACAGGAUUAGAUACCCUGGUAGUCCAUGCCGUAAACGUUGGGCACUAGGUGUGGGGGGCAUUCCACGUUCUCCGCGCCGUAGCUAACGCAUUAAGUGCCCCGCCUGGGGAGUACGGUCGCAAGGCUAAAACUCA